AGUUCUCUGUAGUGUUUGCCAAUGUUGGAGCCGUCUGCAAAGUGUCCCCGGCAAGAAGAGGCUGCCUACCACAAGAACUUUAGCUUACUUUUUAAAGAUUGAAGAAAAAAAAAGAAGACAGAAAAAGAAGAACUCAAAGAUACACAAAGUAAUUUGACCAAGGCUCAGAAGUUUUUGGAGCCGUGAGGGAUACAGCAGUUUGGUCAAUAUUGUCUUAACAUGCUUCAAAUAAAUCAGCUUCUCUCCAAGAUAAAAUGGCAAACCCAAAAGAGAAAACUGCAAUGUGUCUGGUAAAUGAGUUAGCCCGUUUCAAUAGAGUCCAACCCCAGUAUAAACUUCUGAAUGAAAGAGGGCCUGCUCAUUCAAAGAUUGAAGAACUCCCUUUAGCAUUUCUUGUAGAACAAGUCUGGUGUUGAUGAAAUCCUUCGGCUUUUGUUUGUCUGGGAAAGACUUUAUCUCUCCUUCAUACUUAAAGGAUAUUUUCACCAGAUAUACUAUUCUAGAUGUUCUCAGUGCAGCUGAGUCUUGGUGAGCAGACAUGGGAAUCCGAAGGCAGCAGUAUAA
rnacentral:sRNA from 1 species